CGGAGUGUAACUCAGCCUGGUAGAGUACACCGUUCGGGACGGUGAAGCCGGAGGUUCGAAUCCUCUCACUCCGA
rnacentral:tRNA from 1 species